UACGGAGGAUCCGAGCGUUAUCCGGAUUUAUUGGGUUUAAAGGGAGCGUAGGUGGACAGUUAAGUCAGUUGUGAAAGUUUGCGGCUCAACCGUAAAAUUGCAGUUGAUACUGGCUGUCUUGAGUACAGUAGAGGUGGGCGGAAUUCGUGGUGUAGCGGUGAAAUGCUUAGAUAUCACGAAGAACUCCGAUUGCGAAGGCAGCUCACUGGACUGCAACUGACACUGAUGCUCGAAAGUGUGGGUAUCAAACAGG
rnacentral:rRNA from 2 species